CCAGAAACCAGCAUUGAUGGAACCUUGAUUGAUCUUGGACUUCCAGCUUCCAGAACUAUAAGAAAAGGAGUAAAAGACAGUAAGUGUAUACCAUGGGGACA